CCUACGGGAGGCAGCAGUCGAGAAUCAUUCACAAUGGGGGAAACCCUGAUGGUGCGACGCCGCGUGGGGGAAUGAAGGUCUUCGGAUUGUAAACCCCUGUCAUGUGGGAGCAAAUUAAAAAGAUAGUACCACAAGAGGAAGAGACGGCUAACUCUGUGCCAGCAGCCGCGGUAAUACAGAGGUCUCAAGCGUUGUUGGGAAUCACUGGGCGUAAGGCGUGCGUAGGCUGUUUCGUAAGUCGUGUGUGAAAGGCGCGGGCUCAACCCGCGGACGGCACAUGAUACUGCGAGACUAGAGUAAUGGAGGGGGAACCGGAAUUCUCGGUGUAGCAGUGAAAUGCGUAGAUAUCGAGAGGAACACUCGUGGCGAAGGCGGGUUCCUGGACAUUAACUGACGCUGAGGCACGAAGGCCAGGGGAGCGAAAGGGAUUAGAUACCCUUGUAGUC
rnacentral:rRNA from 1 species